rnacentral:lncRNA from 1 species
AUUUGAGUGUAUUAGCUAUCCUUUGAUGGAUGCUGUGUCUGGAAGCUGGAAAGUGAAAGCUGCUGUCCCUAUAUCUGGCAAAUCUGGAUUUGCACUGGCUGAUUUACCAAUCCCUAAGGGAGAUAUAGAGCCAGAAUCCAAAUCAGACACCCUGCUUGGAAUGAGAGAUGCCCCUAGCACCGAGGAUGGAUUUGAAGGUGAAAAUCUCCAUCCUCCAGCCAGUCAGAGAGUGGAGCGUGGCUGUGUUGUUUUCAGAAACAUCAUGCUUGCACCUCCUCCAGCUAAUUAUCAACCAUUCAUGCUUUUGGAUGAACUAAACAAGAAAAGAGGCAAAAAGCCAAGUGGAAGGAUAUCUACUGAGAAAGCUGAGAAGAUGACAGUCUCAC